rnacentral:rRNA from 1 species
GGAUGAACGUUGGCGGCGUGCCUAAUACAUGCAAGUCGAACGGAGACGGUAGCAAUACGGUCUCAGUGGCGAACGGGUGAGUAACGCGUUGGUGACCUGCCCCGAAGUGUGGAAUAACAGAUCGAAAGAGCUGCUAAUACCGCAUAAUAUCCAGAAGAUUAGAUGCUUUUGGAUUAAAGGAUUUAUUCGCUUCGGGAGGGGCCUGCGUCCCAUCAGCUAGUUGGUAAGGUAAAGGCUUACCAAGGCUAUGACGGGUAGGGGACCUGAGAGGGUGGCCCCCCACAAUGGAACUGAAACACGGUCCAUACACCUACGGGUGGCAGCAGUAGGGAAUAUUAGUAAUGGGCGAAAGCCUGAACUAGCAACGCCGCGUGUGCGAAGGAGGCCUUCGGGUUGUAAAGCACUUUUUGAGAGGAUGAGGAAGGACGGUACUCUCAGAAUAAGUCUCGGCUAACUACGUGCCAGCAGCCGCGGUAACACGUAGGAGGCAAACGUUAUCCGGAUUUACUGGGCGUAAAGCGCGUGUAGGUGGUUUGGUAAGUAGGGCGUGAAAGCUCCUGGCUCAACUGGGAGAGGACGUUCUAAACUGCCAAGCUUGAGGAUGGUAGAGGGAGGUGGAAUUCCGGGUGUAGCGGUGGAAUGCGCAGAUAUCCGGAGGAACACCAGUGGCGAAGGCGGCCUCCUGGACCACUCCUGACACUCAGACGCGAAAGCUAGGGUAGCAAACGGGAUUAGAGACCCCGGUAGUCCUAGCCCUAAACGAUGUAGACUUGGCGUCGGUGGUUUAAUCGCCAUCGGUGUCGUAGCUAACGCGAUAAGUCUACCGCCUGGGGACUACGGCCGCAAGGUUAAAACUAAAAGGAAUUGACGGGUCCCCGCACAAGCAGCGGAGCGUGUGGUUUAAUUCGAUGCUACACGAAGAACCUUACCUGGGUUUGACAUAGAGGUAGUAGGGAAGCGAAAGCGGACCGACCCUUCGGGGAGCCUCUACAGGUGUUGCAUGGCUGUCGUCAGCUCGUGUCGUGAGAUGUUCGGUUAAGUCCGCUAACGAGCGCAACCCUCGUCCUUAGUUACCAUCAUUCAGUCGGGGACUCUAAGGAGACUGCCGAUGUAAAUCGGAGGAAGGUGGGGAUGACGUCAAAUCAUCAUGCCCUUUACGUCCUGGGCGACACACGUGCUACAAUGGCCGGUACAAAGAGAAGCAAUACCGCGAGGUGGAGCUAAUCCCAUAAAGCCGGUCUCAGUUCAGAUUGAAGUCUGCAACUCGACUUCAUGAAGUCGGAAUUGCUAGUAAUCGCAGAUCAGCCAUGCUGCGGUGAAUACGUUCCCGGGGCU